GAGCACUUAGUCAGGUAAAAUAAGAAAGACGCUUUUAACAAGACAGUGUCUUAGAACAUUGUCACCGCACACACCACUGCUACUGAACCAUCAGCUCAGUUGUGUUGAAGAUGGGCCAUCUCACUCUUGUGGCUUUUCUCACAGUGCUGUUCGGCCUUUUUGUGGAAGCCGAAGCAAAUUCAUUUGUUUACAACUAUGAAGGCCUACGGAUUGGAGGACUGGUCUUUGCCAUCUUGUUGAUCAGUGCAGGAAUCGGUUUUUUGCUUUAUGGCAAAUGCAAGAAGAGAGGAAAACAUACUGACAACAGCAGUGAAAUCUGAUCUGAUGCUUGACAAACUGGUUUUGGCCUUGAAAGAAGAGCUGGCAGGAGAUGGGGCGGAGAGAUUGACUGCCUCCUGAGAGCAGGGGGGUUCAGAGGAGGCUCACCUGCUCAGAUACCUGUGUGAAGACACAUCCUUUUUUUUUUUUAAUCAAGUACUGCUCAAAUUUGACAUCACUUCCUUCCAGUCUGCUAGAAGGAGAUGCAAAGAGAAAAAGUAAAUGUCCACUUCUGUGCUGAUACGUUGAUGUUUAUUUUUGUAAAUACACACUCAUCCAUGCAUCAUAUCCAGUCUGCCAUAUGGUGCUUCUUUAGUUAUUAAUAUUGUGUAAAGCUGAUUAAGUAAUACACAGUUAGCAUUUUAGCAUUACUACCUGCUGUUUUGAUCAGUUGUCCAUACUGAUGCUGUCAAACUCUAAACUAUUGGAAUAAUCAUGAAAAGUGUAUUCUGUCAAAUAUCCUGAGUCAAUUCGAAAUUAAAGUCAAAAUAAAUGUCGGUGUCACUAACCAAGAGUCUCAUUUUCAUAACUUCCCUACAGCAAAUUAGCAAACUUUCAUUUCCAGCAGUAAAAUAAGACGUUAUUUCAUAUUCAACUGUAAUGGUGACAAAUGCUAUUAUUACAGUACUUGUAAAAUUAUUACUGCCCGUUUUUGUAAACAUACAUCACAGAGCGGAGGAAAAGCCAACCCCGACCCCACAAACCUCGUCUCCUUCUCCACAAGCAAACAUUCCCCUCCUCUCCAACUCUGCGCCUACAACUGACUCUGGAUCAGCUUCCACACCCAGCUCUUCUCCAGCCGCCAACCCUUCUGCUGACAAACGUAACCCCCAAAAACUGACCUGGGAUCAGGAUACGGCAACAAAGCUCCAGCAGUUUAAACUCUGCCCCCUUUUCCCUAAAACCCAGCCAACCUGUAGAGUGUCACGGAGUGCUGAAGGCAGGGUGUUGGCGCAGCGCGUGGAGAGAAGUCGCAGUUUCAGUGUCACGUAUCCGUCCGCUCGUGAGAAAUUUCCUUGUGAUUUGCUUGUCGCUGCUAAACACAAAGAUGUUGAAGAUCUGUGUUUUGGUGUUAAUGACAAGGUCAAAUAGGUCUGGGUAACUUUUCUCCCAUGUUGUGUCCCUGGUGUUCGCAGAAGAACAGAACGCGGAAGAUGACCCCUUCACCUUUGACUAUCACAGACUGCGUGUCGGAGGCCUCAUCCUAGCUGCCGUUCUCUGUCUCAUUGGCAUCACCAUCCUUCUCAGCGGCCACUGCAGGUGCAAGUUCAACCA